ACUUAAAUAAGUUUUCGUCAUAUAAAGUUGUAACAUCAGGAUCAUGUCAAUUUUUUUAUUCCAUGUUUAGGGAAUCUCAAUAAAUUCAUUUGACCUUAAGGGAGAAUUGUAUCCUAUAAUCUAUGGUGGAGAUGCACCACACACUAAAGGAGACUACGAUGGAUCUAUAUCCAGGUUUUGCUCUGGUGGUACGUUGGACAAAAAUAAAGUCAAGGGCAAAAUUGUUCUCUGUGAAGGGAGAAGCCUAGCGUUAGGACCUUUCUAUGCUGGUGCUGUUGGAGCAUUGUUACAAAGUCAAUCUUUUAGAGAUGAUCCUCCCUCUCUUCCUCUGCCAGGAUCUUACCUUGACUUGCUGGAUGGUACCUCCGUAUAUAACUACUUAAACUCUACAAGGAAGAGUAAAUCUCUCUAAUUGGGAGAAGAAUAGGGAGAAUGAGCGGCGGAGGCUUCUCAUGGAGGAAGUUGAGCUGCAGCAGAAAGAUGAGGAUUGGUGGAAACGAUUGAGCAAUAAACUUAAUGAAAGAUGGGCCUCGCGGUAAAUUUUGAGUCAACUAGGAAAAAACCAGAAAAUAUGGAGCUCAGGGUAGGAAAAUGGGUGUCAUAUCUUAAACGUGAGAAGAAAUUGGAUUCAUUAGUUGGUCGCCGUCCAGCUGCUCCUCCAGCCCCAAAAGGACAUUGUAUAUAUGGCAAUGUCAGAAGUGGUAUUUACCUUGUAUUUUCCUCUCUCUUUUUUGGCUGAUGUUUGUGUUUACCUGUAAUGCAAACUUAUACCAGCCUGAUUUUAUUUCUAAUUAUGGUAUUGCUUAAAGUUUCUGGUUGCUUCAUUUAUGUUACUUGCCAGAGAUUGGUGAAAUUGUUCAUGGUUUGUUCUCCAUCUCU